UUUUCUUUAUUUUGAACUCCACUACAUUUUUUUUUCUCUUGUGAGUGGAAGGGAGGAGCAUGUAGAAGGGGAUGGAGAAUCUCCACAUCUAAGACAUGUACUGAAUCCAACCCCAAAACCACAGCUGCUCAAUUUCCAGUAGUCCUAAACUUGAAUUGUUGGGCAUGCUAAGACCUGAGAAGAAAACAACAUGAACUUUGGAAACAGUGAGGCUUUGCUUCAUGCUCUUACUAACAAGGUAAUUGCUUAGACAGCAGCUCAAGCAUUAGUGCAGUUAGUUGAAAAAGUGACAAAAACCUGGAUAAAGUUCUUCCCUCUUAGGUUCAGCACCGUCAGUCAUCCAUUCAGGCUUCAGAAGUUCCCCAGCACUCUUUGUUCAGCAAGAGGCUUACUGGAACCACCACAUACUGUGACAAACUACCAGGAAAUCCUUUAUCAGUAUAUCCUUUUGAAACUGUAUGGACCUAAAAAGUGAUAAGCGCUAAUAAUACUGUGCUUUUUUUAUCCACGUGUCUCUCAAUUUAGUUUCAGUUGGUCUUAUCUUGAACUCAGGAUUUCCAGUUUGAGCGAGUCUGCUGAAAUUCCCCUCCUCCUUCUCCUUUAAAAUGUGGUGUUUAACAUAUCGCAUAGGGCUACAUAUGGUAACGAAAUAUUAAAUUAGUUCUUAUUGAAGCCAGAGAUCAAUGCUGUUGUUCAUAACUUGGACUUCUUUCAGCAGUAGCCUAUAUAAAAUGGUCCACCGGCAGAAUCUCCACAAGCAAAUGCAGCUUUCUGUGUGUGGGCAUUGUACUUUUGUUUUUGAUUAUUUUUUUUUUAGCUUUAAUUUUAAGAAGCAAGGAUCUGGUCUGUUUCUAUAUCCAUAGGCAAUUCUGACCUUCAUACCAUCUGCUCCUGAGAAUACACAUGUAGAAUACACUUGCCUUCCAAGUAGAACAUGAUGAAUCUGAUGAACAUCUGGGUGUGAAAAUCACUGCUCACUGCCCUACGCAGUUUCAUUUCCCUGAGUGCUUACCUUCUCCUUUAACAGGAAGCCUAAGCAAUUGAACAAGUAUCCAAAUAGGAUCCUGGAUUGUAUCAGCAAAGGCAUCACCAGCAGAGAUGAGGAAGUGAUUAUUCCAUUCUAGUUAGUGCUUGUUAGGCAACAUCUGUAAUAGUGUGUUCAGUUUUGGUCCCUGUUGGUCAAAAAAGAUCUGGACAGGCUGGAGAGGGUCCAAAGAAGAGACAGUAAAAUGAUCAAAGGACUGGAAAGCCUGAUAUAUGAGGUAAGGCAGAGGGAACUUGAUUUGUUUACCUGGAGAAAAGAAGACUCAGGAAGGAUCUCAUCAAUGUCACUACUUAUGUUACCAAAAGUCUUUCUUUUAAUAUACAUAAUAGAAGCUCCUGCAGAAAAUACAGAAGGAGCAAAUAGUGCUGUUGGCAUGACUGUGACUUUUAUUUCAGCGUGUCAGUGUUUCAAACACUCAUCUAAAUAGUCCAUGAACACUCAUCUAGAUCUGCCCAUGUCUAUCUCAUGGGACACAAAUCCAACUCUUCAGAAAAAUCCAGCUGACUCUGAGACAAGUCUGGAUGGAGAAUAGUGCCCUCAAUCCUCUGUGCAAGAAUAAUGGCAUCUGUAGUCUUAUGGAGAGGGAAAGAAAAUGUAAACUGAAAGUCUACGGCUUGCAGGAGGAGAUCCAGUGUUUAGUUCCUUAUCCAUUAAACAUAACUCAUGUAUUACAGAAAAAAAGAAGUAGCUUGGAAUGAAUUAAAAAAAUAUAUUAUUUUUAAAGACCUGUUGAUAUAACUGAGGGCACUGGAACUCUGCAGUAUUUUUGCUACUCAAUUUUUCUCUUUAGGGACACAUUUUCCAGGAGGUGGAACUUAAGAACAGAAUGACCAGCUCCUGGGUAAGCGAAGGGCAAAAGUCUCCCCCAGCACGUGCUGACAUACUUGUAGAGGCUGGCAUGCCUAAGGGGUCCUCCUAAUUUAUUCUGUCUUGUCUACAGUUCCGAGGAAGCACAAAUAAUGAGCAUCUGUGAGGCCCUGCUAUGCUCCAGCUCUUUUUGCUCCCCCAUACUGUAUUCCCUAAGGUAAGCACAGGAGCAAAGGACUACUUCUAUAGUUCAUAACAGUAGAACAUCUUUACUCAAUUUUUAUUAUUCGAGACACAUAUCAGUCCCAUUUAAGGACCCUGAAUGGUAAGCAUAAGAAUAUAUUUCUAUGUAAUAAUAGUAAUAAUAAUAAUAUAUAUACUUAUAUAUAUGUAUAUUUAAAGAACCAUUUUCUUUUUAAGGUUGUAAAAAUUUGCUAUUUAUUAACUAUCUGAUUGGAUUUUAUAUGUUUAAUAAAAGCUGUUAAUAAAAUAUUUGCUUUAGCUAU
ensembl:lncRNA